UUAUAGUGUAAAAGUGGCUUUUUAGUGUAAGAUUGGAGAUACACUAAUACUUUAAACUCAUGGAUUGUGUCAUAAAGGUAACUUACCAUCCCUUUUUGUCCCCAACACAAAAUUAAAACCCCGCACUAUGGUGUAUGUAUGUAAAUGUGUAAUAUUAAACUCCAAGUAGGAAAGCAUGAGUCACAAAAACAACAAGCAUAUAUUGAUACCCAAGUAGGAAAGCAUGAGUCACAAAAACAACAAGCAUAUAUUGAUACCCCGUGUCCUACACAAUGUAGUGAGAAAACUCGCAUCUCAUUCAGUCAAACAAUCACCAAAACUAGAAGAGAAAAGACAUUUGGAAUAACAAACACCUAAACAAUUAAUCAAGGUUCAACCCCAUCCUAUGAACUAACACUAAAGUUGACCCCACUAACAUUUUGAUGACUAAAACCAUCUCCACCUUUAACAUUAUUUUUUUAUAUUAUACCGAUAAUUAUAGUGUAAAAGAUAGUACAUACAUUAAAGUUCUCCAACCCAUUACAUUAUAUUUAACACUAAAAAAAUAUUCUAGGUAUAUUGCUCUUUAUUCAGUGUUACACUAAAAUCCAACACUAUAUAUAGUGUCAGGUAUAAUGUAGGGUUGUAUUAUAGUGUAAUUUAUUGUGUAAAAGUGGCUUUUUAGUGUAAGGUUGGAGAUACACUAAUACUUUAAACUCAUGGAUUGUGUCAUAAAGGUAACUUACCAUCCCUUUGUGUCCCCAACACAAAAUUAAAACCACGCACUAUGGUGUAUGUAUGUAAAUGUGUAAUAUUAAACUCCAAGUAGGAAAGCAUGAGUCACAAAAACAACAAGCAUAUAUUGAUACCCCGUGUCCCACACAAUGUAGUGAGAAAACUCGCAUCUCAUUCAGUCAAACAAUCACCAAAACUAGAAGAGAAAAGACAUUUGGAAUAACAAACACCUAAACAAUUAAUCAAAGUUCAACCCCACCCUAUGAACUAACCCUAAAGUUU
rnacentral:lncRNA from 1 species